rnacentral:rRNA from 1 species
UACAGAGGGUGCAAGCGUUAAUCGGAAUUAUUGGGCGUAAAGGGCGCGUAGGCGGCUUGGCAAGUGGAAGGUGAAAUCCCUCGGCUUAACCGAGGAACUGCCCUCCAAACUGCUUCGCUUGAGACCGGGAGAGGUGAGUGGAAUUCCCAGUGUAGCGGUGAAAUGCGUAGAUAUUGGGAGGAACACCAGUGGCGAAGGCGGCUCACUGGACCGGUACUGACGCUGAUGCGCGAAAGCGUGGGGAGCAAACGGG